AUUUUUAGAAAGGUCCCAACUGUAAGCCGCGGCAAACGUCCUGUAAUUUAUCCUGGUCAAGCAAAGGCCAAUGUUCAUUAGAAAUGCUACCGUCAAGAUACCUGAGGUUUUUGGGAACAAGUAAAACAUGGCGUGGAAUGCGCUUGGCCUCUUCUUCUCAUAAAGGAUUGUGUUUCGAACUCUCUGAUGAACAACUGGAAUAUCAGAAUAUGGCGCGCAAAUUUACCCGUGGUGUGAUCAUACCAAAUGCUGCCUAUUAUGACAGAACAGGAGAGGUAAUAAAACGUUUCUG